AACGAACGCUGGCGGCAUGCCUAACACAUGCAAGUCGAACGAGACCUUCGGGUCUAGUUGCGCACGGGUGCGUAACGCGUGGGAACCUGCCCUUAGGUUCGGAAUAACUCCCCGAAAGGGGUGCUAAUACCGGAUAAUGUCUUCGGACCAAAGAUUUAUCGCCUUUGGAUGGGCCCGCGUUGGAUUAGCUAGUUGGUAGGGUAAAAGCCUACCAAGGCGACGAUCCAUAGCUGGUCUGAGAGGAUGAUCAGCCACACUGGGACUGAGACACGGCCCAGACUCCUACGGGAGGCAGCAGUGGGGAAUAUUGGACAAUGGGCGAAAGGCUGAUCCAGCAAUGCCGCGUGAGUGAUGAAGGCCUUAGGGUUGUAAAGCUCUUUUACCCGGGAUGAUAAUGACAGUACCGGGAGAAUAAGCUCCGGCUAACUCCGUG
rnacentral:rRNA from 1 species